GACCUGAAAUCAGUCGAGAUUA
rnacentral:rRNA from 1 species